UGGGGAAUAUUGCACAAUGGGCGCAAGCCUGAUGCAGCCAUGCCGCGUGUAUGAAGAAGGCCUUCGGGUUGUAAAGUACUUUCAGCGGGGAGGAAGGUGUUGAGGUUAAUAACCUCAGCAAUUGACGUUACCCGCAGAAGAAGCACCGGCUAACUCCGUGCCAGCAGCCGCGGUAAUACGGAGGGUGCAAGCGUUAAUCGGAAUUACUGGGCGUAAAGCGCACGCAGGCGGUCUGUCAAGUCGGAUGUGAAAUCCCCGGGCUCAACCUGGGAACUGCAUUCGAAACUGGCAUGCUAGAGUCUUGUAGAGGGGGGUAGAAUUCCAGGUGUAGCGGUGAAAUGCGUAGAGAUCUGGAGGAAUACCGGUGGCGAAGGCGGCCCCCUGGACAAAGACUGACGCUCAGGUGCGAAAGCGUGGGGAGCAAACA
rnacentral:rRNA from 1 species